GAUGAACGCUGGCGGCGUGCCUAAUACAUGCAAGUCGAGCGAACAGACGAGGAGCUUGCUCCUCUGACGUUAGCGGCGGACGGGUGAGUAACACGUGGAUAACCUACCUAUAAGACUGGGAUAACUUCGGGAAACCGGAGCUAAUACUGGAUAAUAUAUUGAACCGCAUGGUUCAAUAGUGAAAGACGGUUUUGCUGUCACUUAUAGAUGGAUCCGCGCCGCAUUAGCUAGUUGGUAAGGUAGCGGCUUACCAAGGCAACGAUGCGUAGCCGACCUGAGAGGGUGAUCGGCCACACUGGAACUGAGACACGGUCCAGACUCCUACGGGAGGCAGCAGUAGGGAAUAUUCCGCAAUGGGCGAAAGCCUGACGGAGCAACGCCGCGUGAGUGAUGAAGGUCUUCGGAUCGUAAAACUCUGUUAUUAGGGAAGAAAAAAUGUGUAAGUAACUAUGCACGUCUUGACGGUACCUAAUCAGAAAGCAACGGCUAACUACGUG
rnacentral:rRNA from 1 species